ACUGGCGGCGUGCUUACCAUGCAAGUCACGGGGGCCCGCAAGGGCAACCGGCGAACGGGUGCGUAACACGUGAACAACCUGCCCUCGUGUGGGGGAUAGCCAUGCUAACGCGUGGGUAAUACCGCAUACGUUCCUCUGGGGGAGUCCCUGGGGGAGGAAAGCUCCGGCGCACGGGGAGGGGUUCGCGGCCUAUCAGCUAGUUGGCGGGGUAAUGGCCCACCAAGGCGACGACGGGUAGCUGGUCUGAGAGGAUGGCCAGCCACAUUGGGACUGAGAGACGGCCCAGACUCCUACGGGAGGCAGCAGUGGGGAAUCUUGCGCAAUGGCCGAAAGGCUGACGCAGCGACGCCGCGUGUGGGAUGAAGCAUUUCGGUGUGUAAACCACUGUUGCCCGGGACGAACAGCCUUUUUCGAGAGGUCUGACGGUACCGGGUGAGAAAGCACCGGCUAACUCCGUGCCAGCAGCCGCGGUAAU
rnacentral:rRNA from 1 species